UCAGGUGACAGACAAAGGACAAAUAAUCCAACCAGAAAAAAUCCAGCAGGCUACAGUCAGUCCAAUACCCAAGCUAUCCAUUGGUACGUCAUUGCAGCUGUGGGUUUUGUCUUGCUCUUGAUAACAGCUGCAUCUGUUAUCAGAUGGAGAAAAACAAAAGCGAACAAAACACAGAUGG